UCUAAUACUGGAUAUUCAGUCCUCGGCGCAUGGUGGGGGUUGGAAAGGUUUUCUGGUGGGGGAUGGGCUCGCGGCCUAUCAGCUUGUUGGUGGGGUGAUGGCCUACCAAGGCUUUGACGGGUAGCCGGCCUGAGAGGGCGACCGGCCACACUGGGACUGAGACACGGCCCAGACUCCUACGGGAGGCAGCAGUGGGGAAUAUUGCACAAUGGGCGAAAGCCUGAUGCAGCGACGCCGCGUGGAGGAUGACGGCCUUCGGGUUGUAAACUCCUUUAGACAAGGAAGAAGCCGCAAGGUGACGGUACUUGUAGAAUAAGCACCGGCUAACUACGUGCCAGCAGCCGCGGUAAUACGUAGGGUGCAAGCGUUGUCCGGAAUUAUUGGGCGCAAAGAGCUCGUAGGCGGUUUGUCGCGUCUGGUGUGAAAUUCCCUGGCUCAACUGGGGGCGUGCAUCGGGUACGGGCAAACUUGGAGUGCUGUAGGGGAGACUGAAAUUCCUGGUGUAGCGGUGGAAUGCGCAGAUAU
rnacentral:rRNA from 1 species